GUAUGUACAGUAAGUGCGUAUUCAAUUAAUUAGCUUGACUUGAGUUCAAAUCCCUUUCUGAGCAAAUAAAAUUAAUUUUGCUAUUUUUGCUCCCAUUCUCCCCUUUGUUGAGUCAUCCAACCUAGUAAGAAACCCUAGGUCUAAAUACAAACUUUUUAACAAAAAAAUUAGAUUUCCACUUUAUUUUUUCACCCAAACCAUCCCUCACUAGAGGUGCUCAUGGG
rnacentral:lncRNA from 1 species